rnacentral:rRNA from 1 species
GCGUAAUAGCUCACUGGUCGAGUCGGCCUGCGCGGAAGAUGUAACGGGGCUAAACCAUGCACCGAAGCUGCGGCAGCGACACUAUGUGUUGUUGGGUAGGGGAGCGUUCUGUAAGCCUGUGAAGGUGGCCUGUGAGGGUUGCUGGAGGUAUCAGAAGUGCGAAUGCUGACAUAAGUAACGAUAAAGCGGGUGAAAAGCCCGCUCGCCGGAAGACCAA